CGAGGUGAACCUGCGGAAGGAUCAUUGUCGAAAUCGAACGGAAGAACGACCCGCGAAUCGUCGUUGCGUACUAGACAGAGCCCGUGAGCACCUAACGCUCAUGGGGCUCGCGUCGUGUCGGCGCGGGUGUGUACUCGAGACCCGCGUNGUACCGGCGGACAAACAAUGUCAGCACGGACCGUGCCAAGGAGCUUUAUGGAGAGAAUCGUCGUCCCACGCCUUUGACGGUCCUCGAUGCGGGACGGGGGGCGAGGGAUGUACGCAAUCUCUACUCAAGUCAAAACGACUCUCGGCAACGGAUAUCUCGGCUCUUGCAUCGAUGAAGAACGUAGCGAAAUGCGAUACUUGGUGUGAAUUGCAGAAUCCCGCGAACCAUCAAUUCUUUGAACGCAAGUUGCGCCCGAAGCCAUUCGGCCGAGGGCACGCCUGCCUGGGUGUCGUGAAUCCCCUUGCCCCUAGGCACCCCGCACGAGCAUUGGCGGGGGAUAUAUGCUCGGGCGCAGAAUAUGGUCUCCCGUGGGAUCGGCAUGCACGGCAUGCCGAGGUGCGGUUGGCCGAAAAUCGAGCAUGGCGGUGACGGGCACCACGGCGUUCGGUGGAUCGAAUGAGAUUGGCUGCGCCGUGGGCUCGGCAUGCGGCGGGCUCCGGACUUUGAAUAUCCCCGAGUGCGAUCCCAGGUCAGGCGGGGCUACCCGCUGAGUUUAAG
rnacentral:rRNA from 1 species